AUGAAUCGGCCACAGGGUUUUGUGGUCUCCCCACAACCGAGGCAGCCGAGGACCCAUGGCUGUCAAGAUCACAGAAGGAUUCCACUUGCCACUUCUGCCCAUCGCUUCACCAAAUCCACCAGACAAAGAAGGAAUAUAGCAACAAAGCAGGGGAGAGAUGAAAAUGGGCAGUCGGCUGUUCAUUCACAUACAUGUAGUUCAUCUGCAAGGCUUCCAAGAAAGCAGCCGCACACCAAAUCCUUUCCGACGCUGCUGUAUCUGAGCCUCCUGUGAGAUAAUCCUCUUAAUGGAAUAUUUAAGAAAUCGGAUAUAAAUCACCAACCUUUUAUCUCACCUGAAGAUCCAUACUCCAUUGGACGGAUGGUGUAUAUGUCUCUCUCCAUACGGAUGGGUGCAGGUGACUUUUCGAGCGGAGGUGGCAAUCUCUGCUUUUUUUAUUUUGAAGAUAGGGUUGUAAAGUUAUAAAUUUUAGAGAUCAGAGCCCAGAAAACAGCUGCACCUAGAGACAAUUAAAACACACAUCCCUUGGAAAAAACCUUUUUUGUCAUUUGCAACCAACAAAAAUGCCUGUUAUUGUGAUGUGCUCAUAAAUAACUUGAUUUUGGCAUAUGCUUUUGUACCAAACAGAAGAUGAAUAAAUUAAAUUUGAUUUACAACCUUUUUCAUUUUUAUUAGCACUGCUCUGAAGAGUUUAUGUAAGGGACGUGCCAGAGCAGUUAUGCCAAAUGUUUUAAGGCGUUGGUAUUGAUAUUAUAUAAAUUAAGGUGUUUUAAUUUGCAUUCUUUAAUUAACUAAAUACUGGCAGAAAAAUAAAACACAAGGGCAGCCCUGACUUAUUGCCUCUGUUAAACUGCUGACGUCUCUGAAAAGAUGCUUUAAGUAAUCCAAUUCAUGCAGAGUGGGGGAGGAAGGGGUAUUAACACUCUCUUAUUUGGCAAAACACAUUGCAGUUGAAGAAACCAAUAUCCUGCUUUGUUUGCACAGUGGUUGAGGUGGUGGUGUGUUUUUAGACAGCCUGCGUUCAUGUCCCCAAGGAAGAAGUUGACCAAAUGUCUUAACUAUGCACCCUGCCCAGGUCUGAGCGGAGGGGCCAAAGGGGAGCCCAGCCCUGCCACUGGGUAUAAGCAGGUUCCUGGGUGCAGGGUCCUGCAGACCUGGGCUAUAUCACUGCCAUUCUAAAAAGAGACAAGCUGGUUGAAUUAAUCCAGUAGAUCCCAUGUCAACAUGAUCAUGUCCAGAAACCAAGGAGAGAAAUCGUCAGAUUCUUCAGCACAAUGAGCUGCUUCUGAUCAAUGCUUCCAGUCACACAUAGGCCUCAAACUAAAAAAAAAAAAAAAAAAAAAAAAAAAAAGUUUUCUAAAAAUAUAUGCUGGGAGUACUUCAAUUCUUUUCCAUACCCUGGGUCCUGGGUCCUGUCGUCAGCUCCAGAGACUUUCUUUUUUUUUUAAUUUUUUUUUUUUAAUGUUUACUCAUUUUUGACAGGGAGAGAGAGAGAGAGAGCAUGAGCAGGGGAGGGGCAGAGAGAGGGAGACACAGAAUCCAAAGCAGACUCCAGGCUCUGAGCUGUCAGCACAGAGCCCAACCUGGGGCUCGACUCACAAACUGUGAGAUCGUGACCUGAGCCGAAGUCGGACGCCCAACCAACUGAGCCACCCAGGCACCCUUACAGAGACUUUCUUAAAAC
ensembl:lncRNA